UAAUACUUAGGGUGCGAGCGUUAAUCGGAAUUACUGGGCGUAAAGCGAGUGUAGGCGGCUGUAUAAGUCGGAUGUGGAAGCCCCGGGCUCAACCUGGGAAUUGCAUUCGAAACUGUACAGCUAGAGUUUGGUAGAGGUAAGUGGAAUUCAAGGUGUAGCGGUGAAAUGCGUAGAUAUCUUGAGGAACAUCAGUGGCGAAGGCGGCUUACUGGACCAAAACUGACGCUGAGGCUCGAAAGCGUGGGGAGCAAACAGGAUUAGAUACCCUGGUAGUCCACGCCCUAAACGAUGUCAACUAGACGUUGGGUUCAUUAAGGAACUUAGUGUCGAAGCUAACGCGUUAAGUUGACCGCCUGGGGAGUACGGCCGCAAGGUUG
rnacentral:rRNA from 1 species